rnacentral:rRNA from 1 species
GAUGAACGCUGGCGGCGUGCCUAAUACAUGCAAGUCGAGCGAACAGACGAGGAGCUUGCUCCUCUGACGUUAGCGGCGGACGGGUGAGUAACACGUGGAUAACCUACCUAUAAGACUGGGAUAACUUAGGGAAACCGGAGCUAAUACCGGCUAAUAUUUUUACCCGCAUGGUUCAAUAGUGAAAGACGGUUUUGCUGUCACUUAUAGAUGGAUCCGCGCCGGAUUAGCUAGUUGGUAAGGUGACGGCUAACCAAGGCAACGAUGGGUAGGGGACCUGAGAGGAAGGUCCCCCACACUGGAACUGAGACACGGUCCAGACUCCUACGGGAGGCAGCAGUGAGGAAUAUUGGUCAAUGGGCGUAAGCCUGAACCAGCCAAGUAGCGUGCAGGAGGACGGCCCUAUGGGUUGUAAACUGCUUUUAUGCGGGGAUAAAGUGGCCCACGUGUGGGUUUUUGCAGGUACCGCAUGAAUAAGGACCGGCUAAUUCCGUG